ACUAGCUGUGUGACCCUGGGCAAGUCACUUAACCACAUUACCUAGCCAAAAAAAGGCAGUAUCAGGCAGUGAAAAAUUCCCUGACAUUAGAGGUGGAGAUCCUGGGUUCAAAAUCAGCUUCUGUCACUUACUACCAGUACAAUCGCAGACAAAUCACUUUGCCUUUCUGACCUGUUUCUUCAUUUGUAAAAGUGAAGGUGUUGGGCUAGAUUGCCUGUAAGGUUCUUUCUGGCCUAGAUCUAUGAUCCUAUGGGGAAAAAAAUGUUGCCCAUCAAUGUCACUGAGUACAAAGUCUUUCCCAGCAAGGGAAGCAAAAGUCUGACAGUGAAUCUUAAAACAUGGUUUCCGAGGUGGUACUCAGACCUAUGCCCUCAGUCAAUUACUUGAUUUGAGGAGUAUUAUGAAGAAUGAUUGCUUUUAAGACUAAUGUCAGGAUGCAAUCUAGGGCGCCUGAAGAUCCCAUUUAGAGCAGCAGCGUUAUUAACACUCACACAGAAAUCAAUGACACCGUCAUCUACUUGCACCAAAAGACUUGAUUGAAGUAGAAAUUCCAAGGGACUUUUUUCUUACAAGAGAUCCCUCCAAUCUUGGUAAGGGCAGGCUUAUAUCCAACUUAUCAAAUGUUAUGUUUUUUUCUUCCUCUAACAGGUACUCAGGUCUUGGAAGUACAAGAGAGAAUAUACUAUUUUUUCCUGAGAUAACACAAGCUCUUUUCUGCAUCAAUAGAGAACACUGUGGUGUUGUCUGAAAGGUCCAAAAUGAUGAUAGACAACUAGCAAGAUGGGAAUGUACUUUGCACUGGUUUCAGGACAUUUGACAGUUCCACUCUCUGAGGGAUAAAGGCCUAAGUAAUAAUGAUGGGAUGAGAGAGUCAGUUAAACAUUUGCCAGUAUACCCAGAACUUAAGAAGCCAGCUAAUCCAAGUCCCUCCUUUUAAAGAAGAGGAAGCAGAGGCCCAAGAAGGUUAAUUAACUUGCCCAAGACCUUUGACUUCUAUUUCAAUGAUGCUGACUUCUAUGGUACUGAAACAGGAAGUGCUAAUGUCUUCAGUAUCAGAACUGACUUCGUAGCCUAUGGAACUAGAAUGAUAAUUAUGUAAACACGUAACAGGCUGUAUCCAGGCCCAGACUACAAUUCCUCUUUGGAACUGCAUUCUCCAAAAGAUUGUGUGUGAGUUUGCAAAGCAAUUCUUGUAGGACUUGUUAUUUUCCUUCAGUUCUCCAUUUGCUUCUUUAUAUGUAAGUGGACAAUUAUCACAUGUUAACAUUGUCUACUUUUUAUUGCAUAAUAAAUUCCAAAGUCCAAGAUUCUUCUCUUUCUAGGAACAUAACCUAACAACAGUAAUUCUACCAUAACUUUCUAAUUAUCUGGAAUAUAGAGUAAUGGUCAACAAAAAUAGACCAUACCUAGGAUAAUUAAUUACUUUUAUUAUCAAUUUAAUCUGUAAGCAUUCAGAUAGGAAUACAUUUUAAAUAACUCUCAUGUAUAAAAGGAACCAUUCUAUUACGAGAACUUGGGAAGAACAAUUAGCACGGACCAAAAAAAUCCCAGGACCACUAUAAAUAUAACUGCCCAUUAAGAACCUAACUUUCAGUUUUAGGUCAUCAUUUUAAACCCUUGAAUCCCUUAAUAAGGAAAUGACAAUAUGUAGAGCUUUGGGAGGGGAUGAAGACAAGGAUAUAAUCAAGAGUUGGCAACUUUUCAGAAAUAGCAGACUGUUUCUAUAAUUGUACUGUAAAGUUUUGCCAACCAGUAAUAUUACCAGUAAUAAUACACCAACUCUAACAGUCUUGAGAGGGUCAAUUGUUAAAUGUUUGGUAAUGGGGUGAGUGGUACCAACACUGACAAAAUGGGGAGCAAACUCAGAAGGUUUAGAGCUGGAAGGAACUCUAGAGAUCAUCUAUCCCAAUUCCCCCAUUUUGUAGAUAAGGAAAUGGAGGCCUAGAAAAGUCAAGUGACUUGUCUAAGGUCCCAUGGCUACUAAGCAGCACAGCUGGGCUUUAAACUCAGAUUUCCUGACUCUCCGUGCAAUGGUCUUUCUGCUUUACCAUGCUGCCUCUUUCUCCCUUUUCCAUCUCUUCCAUUCUUCCAUCUGAGGCUAGAAACUCAAGUUUCUGCUAUCUCAGUUUUGAAUUUUGGCAACAGUUCCCACAGAGUCUGCUGAUUCAGUUAUCAGCUGACUCAGGUGUGUAUUUCUCCACCUUUUCCUCUUGCUAAUUGGACUAACAGUGUAAGUGCCACUGAAAAAGAUUACUAACGUAAUCUUCAACAUAUUUUUAUAGGGUCCUGAAUCCUGAUCUCUGUGCAGUUUUAGCUAAGGAGAUGUGCCAGAAGAAUACAGAAGAUACAUAGUAACCUGGGUACUAGAGGUGAGGACCUAAUGGCAAAUUAAAAAUGAGGAUAUAAUUAAAUGGACUAAAGUCUAAUGGACCAAUUAGAGCUAAUCAGGAAUUCUAGCACUGCCACAAUACACCCAUGGUUGCAGCAAAUAAACCAAACAUCAGAAUAGCCCAGAUCUUGGGGGAGGAGGGGAGGAGGUUACCACCAAAGACUGAGGUACAUCCAAAUGGAGCAAUGUAGGAUUCAAAAUGUACUGAAUGCCCACUGUUUUUCCUGGCAGCUUAUAUUGGAAUGAAAAAUAGAUGUCUGUUCCAAUGCCCUACAUAGAGAAGUAGUUGGGUAGAAUGAAUGAAGAGAUUAAUACUGCGAGUUCAAAUUGUAGCUUAAUCUAAGAGCCUAAAAUCCGGGGUGUGCUGCAGCCAACUCUGACAGUCUUUAGAAAGUCAAUUGUUAAAUGGUCAGUGUGAGCCUCUACAACCCAGAAAUAGAUGAGAGCACAUAAAUCAGAGCUUCAGUUCUUGUUUCAUGGAUUAUCUAGACUUAAAUUAUGGAAAAAAUUGUUAGUGAGGCAAAUUAAACUUAAAAAAUGUAUGUGUACACAUUUUCUGAGCUCCUUUGUUAAAUAUUUACCAAUAUACCCCAACUAUGAAUAUAAUGGUAGUAGCUAAAUCAUGAGCCAUGACCUGUGGCACCUCCAUGCUUGAAUUCUAGGCCCACCACAUCACUUCUUGGCAAUCUACAAGCUACGUGGCUUCCAACUGUUGUUCCCCCAUAAUUAAUGUCUUCUUCCAUUAGAAUGUAAGUUCCUUGAGAACAGGGACAAUCUUGCUUACAUGUAUUUGUAUCUCUCACACUUAGCAUAGCUCCUAUGCCAUAAUAAAGGCUUA